AGACAGAGGGUGCAAACGUUGCUCGGAAUCACUGGGCGUAAAGCGGGUGUAGGCGGGUCGACAAGUCUGGUGUGAAAGCCCUGGGCUCAACCCAGGAAUUGCAUCGGAAACUGUCGGUCUUGAGUGCCGGAGAGGGAGGCGGAAUUCCCGGUGUAGAGGUGAAAUUCGUAGAUAUCGGGAGGAACACCAGAGGCGAAGGCGGCUUCCUGGACGGCUACUGACGCUGAGACCCGAAAGCGUGGGGAGCAAACAGGAUUAGAUACCCCAGUAGUCC
rnacentral:rRNA from 1 species